GGGCGGGGGUGGUGGUGGCCUGGAGACCCCCAAAGGGAAAGUGUCCCCCGCGCUGCUCCUGCUCCAAAGACAGCGCCCUGUGUGAGGGCUCCCCGGACCUGCCCGUCAGCUUCUCUCCGACCCUGCUGUCACUCUCACUCGUCAGGACGGGAGUCACCCAGCUGAAGGCCGGCAGCUUCCUGAGAAUUCCGUCUCUGCACCUGCUCCUCUUCACCUCCAACUCCUUCUCCGUGAUUGAGGACGAUGCAUUUGCGGGCCUGUCCCACCUGCAGUACCUCUUCAUCGAGGACAAUGAGAUUGGCUCCAUCUCUAAGAAUGCCCUCAGAGGACUUCGCUCGCUUACACACCUAAGUCUGGCCAAUAACCAUCUGGAGACCCUCCCCAGAUUCCUGUUCCGAGGCCUGGACACCCUUACUCACAGCUCCAUGAGGUCCCGGAGCCCCCCUCUCAAUCCGCUCCUACCCCCGCUGGUCCCUCUGAAAGCACCGAGGGGUUGAUGGCAUUCCUUUCCCAUUCUAAACUCCACGCAGCCAAUCGCUUUCCUGGAGGAGCGCCAACCUCGAAGACAACUCAGCGCUGGGCGGGUUCCCCUCUGCUGCUUGUGCGCAUGCGU
rnacentral:sRNA from 1 species